rnacentral:rRNA from 2 species
AUGUAUAUUUUCCACAGCUGUUGAUGGAUGCUUCGAUAAAGAGGUAGUUCUUCUCGGUCUAAAUCGAGUUUACAUGCUCAGCCGCCAAA